AACGAACGCUGGCGGCAGGCCUAACACAUGCAAGUCGAGCGCCCCGCAAGGGGAGCGGCGCACGGGUGAGUAACGCGUGGGAAUAUGCCCUGGGGCUGGGGAUAACGGCGGGAAACUGCCGCUAAUACCCGGUACGCCAUGAGUGGGAAAGGAGCAAUCCGCCCUGGGAGUAGCCCGCGUUGGAUUAGCUAGUUGGUGUGGUAAGAGCGCACCAAGGCGACGAUCCAUAGCUGGUCUGAGAGGAUGAUCAGCCACACUGGGACUGAGACACGGCCCAGACUCCUACGGGAGGCAGCAGUGGGGAAUAUUGGACAAUGGGGGCAACCCUGAUCCAAGCCAUGCCGCGUGAGUGAAGAAGGCCCUAGGGUUGUAAAGCUCUUUCGCACGCGACGAUGAUGACGGUAGCGUGAGAAGAAGCCCCGGCUAACUUCGUGCCAGCAGCCGCGGU
rnacentral:rRNA from 1 species